ensembl:lncRNA
UGGUGGAGCAGCUGUGGUUUCCUCUNNNNNNNNNNUGGUGGUGGAGCAGCUGUGGUUUCCUCUGUGGUGGUGGUGGAACCGUGGUGGUGGAACAGAUGUGGAUCCCUCCGUGGUGGUGGUAGAACUGUGGUGGUGGAGCAGCUGUGGUGGUGGAACCGUGGUGGUGGAGCAGAUGUGGUGGUGGAACCAUGGUGGUGGAACAGAUGUGGAUCCCUCCGUGGUGGUGGUGGUGGAACCGUGGUGGUGGAACUGUGGUGGUGGAGCAGUUGUGGUGGUGGAACAGCUGUGGUGGUGGAAUCGUGGUGGUGGAGCAGAUGUGGUUUCCUCUGUGGUCAUGGUGGAACCGUGGUGGUGGAGACGGUGGUGGUGGUGGAACCGUGGUGGUGGAGCAGCUGUGGUGGUGGAACCGUGGUGGUGGAACCGUGGUGGUGGAACAGCUGUGGUGGUGGAACCGUGGUGGUGGUGGUGGAGCCGUGGUGGUGGAACAGCUGUGGUGGUGGAAGCGUGGUGGUGGAGCAGCUGUGGAUCCCUCCGUGGUGGUGGUGGAACCGUGGUGGUGGAGCAGAUGUGGUGGUGGAGCAUCUGUGGUGGUGGAACCGUGGUGGUGGAACAGAUGUGGUGGUGGAACCGUGGUGGUGGGGACGGUGGUGGUGGUGGUGGAACCGUGGUGGUGGAGCAGCUGUGGUGGUGGAACCGUGGUGGUGGAGCAGAUGUCGUGGUGGAACCGUGGUGGUGGAGCAGAUGUGGUGGUGGAACCGUGGUGGUGGAGCAGAUGUCAUGGUGGAACCGUGAUGGUGGAGCAGCUGUGGUGGUGGUGGAAUCGUGGUGGUGGGGACAGUGGUGGUGGUGGUGGAACCGUGGUGGUGGAGCAGCUGUGGUGGUGGAACAGCCGUGGUGGUGGAACCGUGGUGGUGGAGCAGAUGUGUUGGUGGAACCACGGUGGUGGUGGAACCGUGGUGGUGGAGCAGCCGUGGUGGUGGAACCGUGGUGGUGGAGCAGCUGUGGUUUCCUCUGUGGUGGUGGUGGUGGAACCGUGGUGGUGGAGCAGAUGUGGUGGUGGAACCGUGGUGGUGGAACAGAUGUGGAUCCCUCCAUGGUGGUGGUGGAACUGUGGUGCUGGACCAGCCAUGGUUCCCUCAUGGUGGUGGUGCCACCACGGUGCUGGAAUGGCCGUGGUGGUGGUGGCACCCACGGUUCUGGUCACCCCUGGUCACUCCUGGUCACUUUGGUCACCCCUGGUCACCCCUGGUCACUCCUGGUCACCCCUGGUCACCCCUGGUCACUCUGGUCACUUUGGUCACUCCUGGUCACUCCUGGUCACUCCCGUGGUCUCUCCGCAGGGAUGGACGCCGGCUUCGUCUUCUUCCUCUUCCUCCUCAUCGCCGCCCUCAUCGCGGCCGGCGCCGCCCUCGCCUGCCACAUCCGGCGCCGCAUUCAGCAGGCCCAGCUCAUGAAGGGCCCCAACAAAAUCAUCCUGACCAUGGAGGACCUGACCUUCAUCAACACCCAGAGCAGCAAGCAGGUGGACAGCAGCCACGCCAGCCUGGCCGGGCAGAGCGGGGGCGACGCCCGCAGCGUCCGCAGCGCC